UACGUAGGGUGCGAGCGUUAAUCGGAAUUACUGGGCGUAAAGGGUGCGUAGGUGGUCGUUUAAGUCCGUUGUGAAAUCCCUGGGCUCAACCUGGGAAUGGCAGUGGAUACUGGACGGCUAGAAUGCGGUAGAGGGUAGUGGAAUUCCCGGUGUAGCAGUGAAAUGCGUAGAUAUCGGGAGGAACACCAGUGGCGAAGGCGACUUCCUGGCCUGUUCUUGACGCUGAGGCGCGAAAGCUAGGGUAGCAAACGGG
rnacentral:rRNA from 1 species